GUUUAGGUAGCUCAGUUGGUUAGAGCAAAGGACUGAAAAUCCUUGUGUCGGCAGUUCGAGUCUGCCUCUAAACA
rnacentral:tRNA from 1 species